UACGUAGGGGCAAGCGUUGUCCGGAAUCAUUGGCGUAAAGCGCGCGUAGGCGGCCCGGUAAGUCCGUUGUGAAAGUCAAAGGCUCAACCUUUGAAAGCCGAUGGAUACUGCCGGGCUGGAGUCCGGAAGAGGCGAGUGGAAUUCCUGGUGUAGCGGUGGAAUGCGCAGAUAGUCAGGAGGAACACCAAUAGCGAAGGCAGCUCGCUGGGACGGUACUGACGCUGAGGCGCGAAAGCGUGGGGAGCGA
rnacentral:rRNA from 1 species